UGGGGAAUCUUGCGCAAUGCGCGAAAGCGUGACGCAGCAACGCCGCGUGGGGGAAGACGGCCUUCGGGUUGUAAACCCCUUUCAGGAGGGACGAAGCACGGCCGGUGAAUAGCCGGUCCGUAUGACGGUACCUCCAGAAGAAGCCCCGGCUAACUACGUGCCAGCAGCCGCGGUAAUACGUAGGGGGCAAGCGUUGUCCGGAAUUAUUGGGCGUAAAGCGCGUGUAGGCGGUCCGGUAAGUCAGCUGUGAAAGUCCAGGGCUCAACCCUGGGAUGCCGGCUGAUACUGCCAGACUAGAGUCCGGAAGAGGCGAGUGGAAUUCCCGGUGUAGCGGUGAAAUGCGCAGAUAUCGGGAGGAACACCAAUGGCGAAGGCAGCUCGCUGGGACGGUACUGACGCUGAGACGCGAAAGCGUGGGGAACAAACAG
rnacentral:rRNA from 1 species